UAGAACAUGGUUGAAGCUUUGGAUUGAGCCUGACUCCUCUAUUGUGGUUCAAUCUUUAUCAAAGGAAUCCUCGGUUAUUCGGCAAUUUAGAAAUAAAUGAUUACUUUGUAAAAAUAUCAUGCUAAUAUAUCCUUUGUUAUUACCCAUAUUUAUAGGGAACGUAGGUCUUGUGCGAAUUUUUUGCUAGCUUAGGUUGCAUCUAUUAUUCGCUAACUUUUUUUUAUUUC
rnacentral:lncRNA from 1 species